rnacentral:rRNA from 1 species
AGAACGAACGCUGGCGGCAGGCUUAGCACAUGCAAGUCGAGCGCCCCGCAAGGGGAGCGGCAGACGGGUGAGUAACGCGUGGGAACAUACCCUCCGGUUCGGAAUAGCUCAGGGAAACUUGGAUUAAUACCGGAUACGGCCUAGCGGCGAAAGAUUGAUCGCCGGAGGAUUGGCCCGCGUCUGAUUAGCUAGUUGGUGGGGUAAUGGCCCACCAAGGCGACGAUCAGUAGCUGGUCUGAGAGGAUGAUCAGCCACAUUGGGACUGAGACACGGCCCAAACUCCUACGGGAGGCAGCAGUGGGGAAUAUUGGACAAUGGGCGCAAGCCUGAUCCAGCCAUGCCGCGUGAGUGAUGACGGCCUUAGGGUUGUAAAGCUCUUUCGCUAGGGACGAUAAUGACGGUACCUAGACAAGAACGCCCGGCUAACUUCGUGCCAGCAGCCGC